rnacentral:rRNA from 1 species
UUUCUUCGGAAAUGGAUUAGCGGCGAACGGGUGAGGAACACGUGAAGAAUCUGCCCUCCACUUUGGGAUAACACAGGGAAACCUGUGCUAAUACCGAAUAUUGAAACAUAAGUGGCAUCACUGAGUUUUGAAAGAAUUUCGGUGGAGGAUGACUUCGCGGCCUAUCAGCUAGUUGGUGAGGUAAUGGCUCACCAAGGCAACGACGGGUAGCCGGCCUGAGAGGGCGACCGGCCACACUGGGACUGAGACACGGCCCAGACUCCUACGGGAGGCAGCAGUGGGGAAUAUUGGGCAAUGGAGGAAACUCUGACCCAGCGACGCCGCGUGCGGGAUGAAGGCCUUCGGGUUGUAAACCGCUUUCAGUAGGGAAGAAGCGAAAGUGACGGUACCUACAAAAGAAGCACCGGCUAACUAUGUGCCAGCAGCCGCGGUAAUACAUAGGGUGCAAGCGUUGUCCGGAAUUAUUGGGCGUAAAGAGCUCGUAGGUUGUUUGUUACGUCGGAUGUGAAAACCUGAGGCUCAACCUCAGGCCUGCAUUCGAUACGGGCAAACUAGAGUUUGGUAGGGGAGACUGGAAUUCCUGGUGUAGCGGUGGAAUGCGCAGAUAUCAGGAGGAACACCAAUGGCGAAGGCAGGUCUCUGGGCCAAUACUGACACUGAGGAGCGAAAGUCUGGGGAGCGAACA